rnacentral:rRNA from 1 species
AGAGAGAGACAUGCGCGCAUAUCAAUAAGCGGAGGAAAAGAAACUAACAAGGAUUCCCCUAGUAACGGCGAGUGAAGCGGGAAGGGCUCAAAUUUGAAAUCUUAAAGGGUUUCCCUUUACGAAUUGUAGUUUAAAGAAGUGUUUUCUGUUGAGGUUUUGGUAAAAGUUCUUUGGAAUAGGACAUCAUAGAGGGUGAGAAUCCCGUAUUUGACCUUUACUUUCAACUUUGUGAUACACUUUCAAAGAGUCGGAUUGUUUGGGAAUGCAGUCCAAAAUGGGUGGUAAAUUUCAUCUAAAGCUAAAUAUUGGCGAGAGACCGAUAGCGAACAAGUACCGUGAGGGAAAGAUGAAAAGAACUUUGAAAAGAGAGUUAAACAGUACGUGAAAUUGUCAAAAGGGAAGCGUUUGACACCAGUGUUGUUUUUCUGAAAAUCAAUUAAAGAACUGUUUAUGCUAAGUUGUUUAGACUUUAUCAGCUAACUGUUUAGUUUUGAGCUUUUCUUUAAUGCACUUUUCAGUUAACAAGUCAACAUCAAUUUCUUUUGCUGUAAAAAAGCUUGAGGAAGGUGGCUUGAGAUUCGUCUUAAGUGUUUAUAGCCUCUUGCCUAUGCAGUCGGAGAGAUUGAGGUCUGCAGCGUAGAUCCUUCGGGGCUAAAUGCAUUUGUGCUAAGUUAUAGCAUUUUAUAGACAACUUGUUGACUAUGAUUUGUCUUGUAGCUUACUCGCUUAUGUUAUUUUACCUACGCUUAGGAUGUUGACGCAUGAGAUAUACGC